AGUUCUGUACUUUAAUUCAAAAGAUUUGAUUUGCAAUCAACCAUUGAGCUGCCCAUUACCACUCUAGAACUA
rnacentral:tRNA from 1 species